AAUGGGCGCGAGCCUGAACCAGCCAAGUAGCGUGAAGGAUGAAGGUCCUAUGGAUUGUAAACUUCUUUUAUAGCAGAAUAAAGUGACCCACGUGUGGGUUUUUGUAUGUAUGCUAUGAAUAAGGAUCGGCUAACUCCGUGCCAGCAGCCGCGGUAAUACGGAGGAUCCGAGCGUUAUCCGGAUUUAUUGGGUUUAAAGGGUGCGUAGGCGGAAAGAUAAGUCAGCCUGUGAAAGUUUGCGGCUCAACCGUAAAAUUGCAGUUGAUACUGUUUUUCUUGAGUGUACAUAAGGUAGGCGGAAUUCGUGGUGUAGCGGUGAAAUGCUUAGAUAUCACGAAGAACUCCGAUUGCGAAGGCAGCUUACCGGGGUACAACUGACGCUGAUGCACGAAAGUGUGGGUAUCAAA
rnacentral:rRNA from 1 species